GCCAUGUCGAAACCGCCUACUCGAGUGUUUUUCCAGUUACCUGCCACCCACCCACCAACUCCCCUUGGACUUUAGUUUGGGCUAGAACCUGACAAUUGGCAUCACGAACAGGAUCCUAAGGAAUUAGGCAAGCAGUGUUGCCAGUGUCCAGGGGAACCCCUGCCUGCCUGGAUGCUUCGUCUGUGGAACAAGGGAGCAGAUGGUAUCUCCCAUUCCACCUCUGAGAUGGACAAGCUGGCCUCCACCAUGACUCACCCCUCUCUCUGUCAGCGGCUGCAAGUGAGCAGGUGGUUAGUGGCAGCGCAAGGAGACCACACCCUGACUGAGUGGCUACAGGCAGCCAUAUGAACUGUGUGGAAUAAUGCUGGUGAAAUGCCCAAAACUAUUUAGAAGCAGUGGCACCCCUCUUGUGGCAACAUUUGGCAGCAUGCAGUUGGGCCAUCAACAAAUCCAAGGUCCGAGGGCCUGGAUUACCUGCUAAAUUCUUGGGAGUUAUCUGGUCGGGGCUGAAGUUCCAGGCUGGACCUGAUGCUCCAAACCUUGAAUGAAUGGCCAUGGAAAAGCAGCCCAGCCCAGGUGGAGGCUUUGUUACAUGGGCCACCACCCCUAUUCAGUUGCAGAUACACACCAAGGGUAACCGCCUCUGACCAGGUUAACAUGCUCCAACUGCAUUGUGGACUGGGCCCACACCUACACUGAAGUGACCAAUGUUUCCAACUGUUGGAUCUGCACCGCCCUUCUAGCAGCUGCAGAUGGCUUGCCUUAGCACAUACAUUCAGCAUCUGCAGAGAACCAGACAUGGCUGGAGACUUGGGGUCCCAUGGCUGAUGCCUGGAACGCAACGUGGCAAGUUUUGGACAAAGGAUGCCACAAGACCCACAGCACAGCCAUUCCCUGGCUGGCCCAUAGCAUUUAUGAUGGGUGGGGCUGGCUAGUGAGGUAACGUGCAGUACCCCUGGCCCAGGCACUGUGGUGCAUAUAGCAACACUGGGGUAAUAGCACUGUGGGAUGGGUACCCGUCACAGUGUGUGUAAGCAUAAUACAUGUCACCACACCAAAGGUAUGGUGGAAGACGCGGCCCCACCAAGGGGCCUCGAUGGACUGUGUGCCCCCUGGGAGUUUAUGGGUCUGUGGGGACACAGGGUGGCCUUACCUAUAAGCAAACUGGACUGGACAUUAUACCUGAGGGUGGCCUCAUGUACCUGCCACUGUUCUCACAUUGCCCAGAUGCCUGCAUAACUGGGAGGUGCUACACUCUCGGUUUUUGCAAGUGUAAUGAGCACCCUGGUGGUUUUACCCCUUGACAGGCACUAGCCCUGGAGUGUGUGUCACAACUGUAGAAGCCAAGUUACUGCUCUUGCAGAGCAUGCUGCUCAGGCUCUGAAUUACACCUGAGUGGCCCUCUUCCCAUUAAUGGAUGAGGUUGAUCAGAUCAGAAAGGUGGUGUUGCGAAACCGAAUGGUCUUAGACAUAGUAACUGCUGCCUAAGGAGGCACCUGUGCCCUUUUAGGAACACAAUGUUGUACCUUUAUCCCUGACAAUUGGCAGAACAUAACAGCAGCCCUGCAAGGGGUCUCACAGGAGAUUAAGGUAGUCAAGAGCCUUACUGAUGACCCCCUGCAGAGAUGGUAGACAUCCCUGGGCUCUGGCCUACGCUGGGCCCUGAUAGUCAUAAGUAGCAUAGCUGGAAUCCUAGUCGUGAGCUGUUGCUCUCCGUAUUGUUGCUGUGGAUUAUGGAUUCAGGGCUCCACCCUACGGGCACAUGUCCCUACCUGGAGGAUGCCCCUGGCCUAGGGGUGGAGUGUAAGGAAGAUGGCUGCGCUUUAGUCAGGAGCAGGCUGAGGCCACUUUUUGGUGCACCAUGACUCAGUGGGUUUGGAGCGUAGGCACACGACUCCGCACAUUAUGAACCAUGCCACUUGAGGUGCAUUAGGUGACCACUCACGUGAGCUCGUGAUUGCUUCAGAGCCUCUAUUGUCUGUAAAAGGUAUAAUUACCCUGCUGACACUGGACAUAUGGCUCGUGCCCAGAGAGAGGAUAAGGCCAUGUUCAAACUGCCUAUGAUUCCUCGGGUGUUUUUUCAGCUACCCCUCACCCACCCACCAACUCCCUUCGGACUUCAGUUUGGGCUAGAACCUUACACCCACAUAAACUAAAGCUGUAUGGGGUCCUCAGUUUUCAAGCACAUAAAAGUAUUCUGUAUCCAAAAAGUUUGUGAACCACUGCCCUAGAGAAACUUUCCAUGGCGUGCAAGAUGUAUGUAAGAAUGCCCAGUAGAGACAUAAUAAGAAACCAGAAAAAGUGGAAAUCUCAAUGCCUGUCAUCAAGAGAGAUAAAUGCAGCGUGGUCUAUUUCUGUUCUCCUCACAUUGCCCAGAUGCCUGCUUAACUGGGAGGCGUUAUGUUCUCAGUUUUUGCAAGUGUCAUAAAGGAGUGAAUGGAGCAUUACCUGUCAUUAUAGACACUGCAAAAUGAGCUAGUAGCAGGAUUUUUACCACAGGUACCCAUAAGCAACAUGUGGCAUGGUUCACCAUGGUUUUACAUUGUUGUGUAAAUAACUUAAAAUUAUGUGAAUAAUGUAAAAGCAUGGUGAACAAUGCCAUGUUUUGCUUAUGGGUACCUGCGGUAAAAAGCAAAAAUCAUGACCCUGAAGGGGUGAGCAGGCCUACAGGUGCUGGGCAGGCACUGUCUUGCAAAGAGCACAAAAUGUGCAGGUCCCUCUGGGAGUGUUAUAGUGGGUAGCUAGUCAGAAAGAGCAGGGCAGGAGAGGGCUCCCCAUACCCCACACACCAGGAGUGUCAGGUGACCAUCAGGUGAUGGUCUGGCGGUUGUUGACUGUCUUUCUAAAGUAAUAAUUGGUCACACCCGGCAACAGGGAAAAGCCGGCUCCUAAUAGAUAGAAAACACUCGAAACUGGUGAGCAGUAGUUUCCCUAUAAGAUCUCAGGAGUUGAGCCAGUGGGCUCAGGCAGGCACAUGGGACAGCCCACCCCAAGGGAAGAACCAGGGGAGAAAUAACGCAAGACCCCGAAAGCAUGCUGACGUAUAAAACCCCAAGUCAAAAGGUCAAACCACGCACUUGCUUUUUAAGUCGUCCACUUGGCCCUCUUCCAAGUGUACUUUCCUUCCUUUUGUUCCUAUUCUAAAGCUUUUAAAUAAACUUUUACUCCUGUGCUAAAACUUGCCUCAGUCUCUCCUUCUGUCUUAUGUCCCUCAAUUGAAUUCUUUCUUCUGAGGAGGCAGGAAUUGAGGUUGUUGCAGACCUGCGUGGAUUUGCUGCCAGUAGCAGGAGCAGAGGACUAGGCCUUGGAGACGGUGAGGGGGCCACUCCCUCCCUAUCCCCAGGCAUCGGUAAGAUCUGAGACAGACUGCUCUUCCCUUGGAGUGUAUUGCUGACCUUGCCAACUGAAAAUAAACAGCUUCUGAUAGUCUUUACUAACAGAUAAUAGAAAAGAAAAAUUGCCAUCUGCACACCAGGUGCCAGGAGAAGGGUUGAUUAGCUGCAGAAAUGAAACAACACCUGAUCCUGCAGCUGCAGCUGGAGCCCCCGCCUGAUUAAGUUUACACUGGUCCACUGUCAUUUUCCAACACCUAUUUGUCUUCUGCACAAACCAGAUAGGUGAGCUGAAUGGAGAGAGGUGGACAUCAUCAUCCUUCAUCUUUCAAGUUCUUGCUACAAUUCCUCCAGACGUGCAGUGUUGUUUUGUUUAGUAUCUUGGCAGGUAGAGGGAGUUCCAAAGGCUUCCACUUGGCCUUCACUCUAUGGAUCAGAGAAUCAAUAUGGGGAUUCUUCCCCGAUGCAGAGUAUCUCUAUUCCAAUUAUGCUUUCUGUUAAGAAGAUUGUUUCUUUCUGUUUCUCCAGUUGAUGGGGGCACUGGGCUUAUAGUUCUCUGUGGGAGGAGUUCUAAUUACAGAUUGGAUUUCUUUAGUAGAUGUGAGAUUAUUCACAUUUUAUAUUAUUUUUCCAUGUCAAUUUUCUUUAUUUUUCUUUGUCUUUUUAAAAGAUGGGGU
rnacentral:lncRNA from 1 species